rnacentral:rRNA from 1 species
CGCUGGCGGCAUGCCUUACACAUGCAAGUCGAACGGCAGCGCGGGAGCAAUCCUGGCGGCGAGUGGCGAACGGGUGAGUAAUACAUCGGAACGUGCCCAAUCGUGGGGGAUAACGCAGCGAAAGCUGUGCUAAUACCGCAUACGAUCUACGGAUGAAAGCAGGGGAUCGCAAGACCUUGCGCGAAUGGAGCGGCCGAUGGCAGAUUAGGUAGUUGGUGAGGUAAAGGCUCACCAAGCCUUCGAUCUGUAGCUGGUCUGAGAGGACGACCAGCCACACUGGGACUGAGACACGGCCCAGACUCCUACGGGAGGCAGCAGUGGGGAAUUUUGGACAAUGGGCGAAAGCCUGAUCCAGCCAUGCCGCGUGCAGGAUGAAGGCCUUCGGGUUGUAAACUGCUUUUGUACGGAACGAAACGGUCUUUUCUAAUACAGAAGGCUAAUGACGGUACCGUAAGAAUAAGCACCGGCUAACUACGUGCCAGCAGCCGCGGUAAUACGUAGGGUGCAAGCGUUAAUCGGAAUUACUGGGCGUAAAGCGUGCGCAGGCGGUUAUGUAAGACAGUUGUGAAAUCCCCGGGCUCAACCUGGGAACUGCAUCUGUGACUGCAUAGCUAGAGUACGGUAGAGG